AGCGAACGCUGGCGGCAGGCUUAACACAUGCAAGUCGAGCGGGCAUCCUUGUGGUGUCAGCGGCAGACGGGUGAGUAACGCGUGGGAACGUGCCCUUCGGUUCGGAAUAACUCAGGGAAACUUGAGCUAAUACCGGAUACGCCCUUUUGGGGAAAGGUUUACUCCCGAAGGAUCGGCCGGCGUCUGAUUAGCUAGUUGGUGAGGUUACGGCUCACCAAGGGGACGAUCAGUAGCUGGUCUGAGAGGAUGAUCAGCCACACUGGGACUGAGACACGGCCCAGACUCCUACGGGAGGCAGCAGUGGGGAAUAUUGGACAAUGGGGGCAACCCUGAUCCAGCCAUGCCGCGUGAGUGAUAACAGCCUUAGGGUUGUAAAGCUCUUUUCUCCGGGACGAUAAUGACGGUACCGGAGGAAUAAGCCCCGGCUAACUUCGUG
rnacentral:rRNA from 1 species